UACGUAGGGUGCGAGCGUUGUCCGGAAUUAUUGGGCGUAAAGAGCUCGUAGGCGGUCUGUCGCGUCGAAUGUGAAAACCCGGGGCUCAACUCCGGGCUUGCAUUCGAUACGGGCAGGCUUGAGUUCGGUAGGGGAGUCUGGAAUUCCUGGUGUAGCGGUGAAAUGCGCAGAUAUCGGGAAGAACACCCGUGGCGAAGGCGGCACUCUGGGACGGUACUGACGCUGAGACGCGAAAGCGUGGGGAGCGAACAGG
rnacentral:rRNA from 1 species